UGGAAACCGCCAUAACGUGAAAACGGUAAACCACUUGUAAGUGGUAAUUCAGGUACUUCGCUGAACUUUAUCUCGUGGAAGCAUGUGAGCAUGAGGGGGGAGUAUUAUGCUUUAUCACUAGGCAAAAUUAUGAUCUUAGGGUAUUUUAUGGGAAUAUGUAAGCAUGAUAGGGAUUUGGGAAACAUUCUACUUCUUUAUUUGGGCAAAAUCAUGACUUAUAUGAUCUUUGAUGUAAUCACAACAUCAUCUUGGAAGCUGCACAACUUCUGCAUAUGUGCUUAGACUUGAAAUAUGACGUUAUUAAUAAACGAAGCUGCACACCUUCUGCAUAUGUGCUAGGGCUUGAAAUGCAACUUGAAUUAUGUUACUUGGG
rnacentral:lncRNA from 1 species